rnacentral:piRNA from 1 species
GUUGCUGUCUUCCUCUGGAUGAC